rnacentral:rRNA from 1 species
CCUACGGGGGGCAGCAGUAGGGAAUCUUCCACAAUGGACGAAAGUCUGAUGGAGCAACGCCGCGUGAGUGAAGAAGGGUUUCGGCUCGUAAAGCUCUGGUGGUAGUGAAGAAAGAUAGAGGUAGUAACUGGCCUUUAGUGGACGGUAAUUACUGAGAAAGUCACGGCUAACUACGUGCCAGCAGCCGCGGUAAUACGUAGGUGGCAAGCGUUGGCCGGAUUGAUUGGGCGUAAAGCGAGUGCAGGCGGUUCACUAAGUCUGAGGUGAAAGCCUUCGGCUCACCCGGAGAAUUGCAUCCGAAACUGUUGAACUUGAGUGCAGCAGAGGAGAGUGGAACUCCAUUUGUAGCGGUGUAAUGCGUAGAUAUAUGGCAGAACACCAGUGGCGAAGGCGGCUCUCUGGUCUGCACCUGACGCUGAGGCUCGAAAGCCUGGGUAGCGAACAGGAUUAGAUACCCCAGUAGUC